GUAGAGUCGGGGCGAUGGUGCGGGGUAUAAGGGUGGGGCAGAGUGUUAAUCGGAAGUAAUGUGGUUAAAGCGUGCGCAGGCGGUUUGUUUAGCGAGAUGUGAAAGCCCUGGGCUCAACCUAGGAAUAGCAUUUCGAACUGGCGAACUAGAGUCUUGUAGAGGGGGGUAGAAUUCCAGGUGUAGCGGUGAAAUGCGUAGAGAUCUGGAGGAAUACCGGUGGCGAAGGCGGCCCCCUGGACAAAGACUGACGCUCAUGCACGAAAGCGUGGGGAGCAAACAGGAUUAGAUACCCCAGUAGUC
rnacentral:rRNA from 1 species